rnacentral:rRNA from 1 species
GACGAACGCUGGCGGCGUGCUUAACACAUGCAAGUCGAACGAAGUGGCGAACGGGUGAGUAACGCGUAAUCAACCUGCCCUUCGGAGGGGGACAACAGUUGGAAACGACUGCUAAUACCGCAUACUGAUUGAGGGGUUUGCGUCUGAUUAGCUAGCUGGCGGGGUAACGGCCCACCAAGGCGAUGAUCAGUAGCCGGUGUGGGGAGAUUGACGGGCAAAAUGGGACUGAGACACGGCCCAGAAGCCCACGGGAGGCAGGAGUGGGGAAUCUUCCGCAAUGGACGGAAGUCUGACGGAGCAAAGCCGGGGGGGUGAUGACGGCCUUCGGGUUGGAAAGCUCUGUUAAUCGGGACGCGGUACCGGAAUAGAAAGCCACGGCUAACUACGUGCCAGCAGCCGCGGUAAUAC